GACGGAGGGGGCUAGCGUUGUUCGGAAUGACUGGGCGUAAAGCGCGCGUAGGCGGUUUGGUAAGUUGGAUGUGAAAGCCCGGGGCUCAACCCCGGAGGUGCGUUCAAAACUGCCAGACUUGAGGUCGGAAGGGGAGAGCGGAAUUCCCAGUGUAGAGGUGAAAUUCGUAGAUAUUGGGAAGAACACCGGUGGCGAAGGCGGCUCUCUGGUCCGGUUCUGACGCUGAGGCGCGAAAGCGUGGGGAGCAAACAGG
rnacentral:rRNA from 1 species